AUUGAACGCUGACGGCAGGCUUAACACAUGCAAGUCGAACGAGUGGCGGACGGGUGAGUAAUGCUUGGGUAUCUAGCUUAUGGAGGGGGAUAACUACGGGAAACUGUAGCUAAUACCGCGUACCCUAGGAUGAGCCCAAGUGGGAUGAGGUAGUGGGUGAGGUAAAGUCUCACCAAGCCGACUAUGUAUAGCUGGUCUGAGAGGAUGACCAGCCACACUGUGACGGAGACACGGCCCAGACUCCUACGGUAGUCAGCAGUGGGGAAUAGUGCGCAAUGGGGGAAACCUGAAACAGCCAUGCCGCGUGAAUGAAGAAGGCCUUCGGGUUGUAAAGUUCUUUCGGUAGCGAGGCGUUAACUACAGAAGAAGCACCGGCUAACUCCGUGCCAGCAGCCGCGGUAAUUC
rnacentral:rRNA from 1 species